CAAGAAAUCAUUCGCCAAACAUAUAUUUGACAAAAAAACCUCUAUCUAGAAUAUAUAAGGAACUCUCAAAACAUACCAAUUUAAAAAGCCAAUCCAAUUAGAACAGGCAAAAGGCAUGAACAGACAUUUCACCAAAUGGGCAUACAGAUGGCAAAUAAACACAUGAAAGGUAUUCAAUAAUAUUAUCCAUUAGGGAAAUACAGAUUAAAACCACAACGAUAUUACUAUGCACCAGUAAGCAUGGCUAAAAUAAAAAAUUAUGACAAUACCAAAUGCAUAUAAAGUUGAGGAGAAACUGAAUCAGUCAUACAUUGCUGGAGAGAUAUGGAAUAGUAUAGCAAAUUUAAAAUAUAGUUAGCCAAGUAGUUUUAAAAAAAAAACAAAAACUAAACAUGCACCUACCAUAUGGUCUAGAAAUCCUCCUUUUAGGCAUUUAUCCCAGAAAAAUAAAAUUCACACUCACACAAAAACAUACACAAGAAUGUUCAUAAAAACUAUAUUAGUCAGGGCUCUCCAGAGAAACAGAACCAAUAAUACACACGUGUGCACACACGCACAGAGAUUUAAGAAAUUGGCUCACAUGGUUUUGGGGGUUAGCAAGUCUAAAAUCUGCAGGACAGGCCAGUAGGCAGGAGACCCAGGAAAGAGUUAUUUUAGUAGUUUUGAGUCCUAAAGUCAUCUAGAAGUAGAAUUCCUUUUCCUUGAGAGAUCUCAGUCUUUUCUCUUGAAAUCUUCAACUGAUUAAAUGAAGCCCACCCACACUGUAGAGGGUAAUCUGCUUUACUCAAAAUCUACUUAUUUAUAUGUUAAUUAUACCUUUAAAAAACCUUCGCAGCAACAUCUAAACUGGUGUUUAACAAAUACCUGGGUACCAUAAUCUAGCCAAGUUAACAUAUAUAAUUAGCCAUGAUAGCAGGUUUUGUUGAUAGCCAAGUAAUAAGAGCAACCAAAAAGUCCUUCAGCAUGGUAAUGAUUAAACAAACUGUGAUACAUCCAUGCCAUGGAAUACUACUCAGCAAUAAAAAAAAAAAAAAAAAAAAAAACAAGCUCUUAAUGCACACAACAAUAUAGACGAAACUCAAAUGUACUGAGUUUUAAAAGGAGUCAAUAUCAAGGUACUAUAUGAUUCCAUAUAUAACAUUCUUAAGUAAAAUUAUACAGAUAGAGAACAGAUUAGUGGUCUCCAGGGGUUAUGAAUGGGGAGGGGGUGGGUAUUGAUACGGCUGUGAUGACUGGAGGAAUACCAGGGUCCUUUGUCUCAAGCCAGUUUAAAUAAAACAACACAGACACACGUGGAGUGGUUUUAAGGAGUGGAGACAGUUUAAUAGGCAAGAAAGAAAGAAGAAGCUCCCCCAUACAAAGACAGAGGGAGGGGGGCUCCAGGCCAAGAGAGGGAACCCUAAGUGCAGUAGAAAACAGAGUUAUAGUAGGAGGCUGGAGGAGGCAGUAUCUGAUUUACAUAGGGCCCAGGGGAUUGGUUUGACCAGAUAUGUCAUUCACAUAGCCCGCAAAAAAACUGGCCUUCCCACCCUAGUCUUUUAAUAUGCAAAUGCAGGGCACCAUGAUGUUCUACAGAGGUGAGGAUUAUCUGGGGGCAGCCAUGAUGCAAGGCACUUGUGAUAAGAAGAAGAAGGCGGGAAUCGCUAUAUUGAGUGGACCCAGUUUCUAAUGGCUGGCAUUUGCUUAUCAAAGCUUGCUGGCCUGGCCCUAAGAGUUGCUUUUCUGCUAGACAAGAAACGUUUCUGGAGCUGCUUUAAAAGAAAAAAAAAAACAAAAACAAAAACAAAAACCUUACUAAGGACCCCUUUUCUUCUCUGCCUAACAAUAAUUUCUUAAUAACUCCUAUAACAGUAUAACUAUAAAUGGAUAGCAGGAAGGAAUCUUCUGGUGAUGCAACAGUUUGGUAUCUUGGUAGUGGUGGUUGUCACGCACGUCCGUGUUGUAGCAGGACAAGCCGCAGACAAAACUCCUCAGACACCGAGUUAAAGAAGGAAGGGGUUUAUUCGGCUGGGGACAUCGGCAAGACUCCUGUCUCAAGGGCUGAGCUCCCCGAGUGAGCAAUUCCUGUCCCUUUUAAAGGGCUCACAACUCCAAGGGGGUGUACGUGAGAGGGUCAUGAUUGAUUGAGCAAGCAGGGGGUACGUGACUGAGGGCUGCAUGCACCGGUAAUUAGAUCGGAACAAAACAGGAUAGGGAUUUUCACAGUGCAUUUCUAUACAGUUUCUGCAAACUAUAGAUAACAUAACCGAUUAGGUCAGGGGUCGAUCUUUAACUACCAGGCCCAGGCUGUGGGGCCGGGCUAUCUGCUUGUGGAUUUCAUUUCUGCCUUUUAGUUUUUACUUUUUCUUUCUUUAGAGGCAGAAAUUGGGCAUAAGACAAUAUGAGGGGUGGUCUCUUUAGUGUGAAGAGACCACCAAACAGGCUUUGUGUGAGCAAUAAAACUUUUUAAUCACCUGGGUGCAGGCCGGCUGAGUCCGAAAAGAGAGUCAGCAGACGGAGAUAGGGGUGGGGCAGUUUUAUGGAAUUUGGGUAGGUAGUGGAAAAUUACAGUUAAAGGGGUUGUUCUCUGGUGGGCAGGGCGGGGGCUCACAAUGUGCUCCUCCGUGGGGAACUUCUGAGACUCAUUGUCCAGGAGAAGGAAUUUCACAAGACAGUGUCAUCAGUUAAGGCAGGAACCGGGCCAUUUUCACUUCUUUUGUGAUUCUUCAGUUGCUUCAGGCCAUCUGGAUGUAUAAGUGCAGGUCACAGGGGAUAUCAUGGCUUAGCUUGGGCUCAGAGACCUUGACAUUCCUGUCUUCUUAUAUUAAUAGGAAAAGUAAAACAAAAUAGUGAUGAAGUGUUGGGGCGGCGAAAAUUUUUGGGGGUGGUAUGGAGAGAUAAUGGGCGAUGUUUCUCAGGGCUGCUUUGAGUGGGAUUAGGGGCAGCAUGGGAACCUAGAGAUUAAGCUGAAGGAAGAUUUUGCGGUAAGGGGUGAUAUUGUGGGGUUGUUAGAAGGAGCAUUUGUCGUAUAGAAUGAUUGGUGAUGGCCUGGAUGCAGUUUUGUAUGAAUUGAGAAACUAAACGGAAGACACAAGGUCCAAAUAAGAGGAGAAAAACAGGUAUUUAAGGACUAAGAAUUGGGAGGACCUAGGACAUCCAAUUAGACAGUGCCCAAGGGGGUUCAGCGUGAUUAUUUGCUUGGUUGUCCCUCUGAACAGCUCUCAAAAUAUGUGAAAGAAGUAAAUUUUGGGAUAAAAUACUUUUAUUUACUUUGCAAUCUUUUAGUAAUCGUUAUAGGGUAGGACCUGCUAAAAUGGAAAAGUCUCUCCUUGCUGGGCUAAGAAUGGCUCUUUUUAAGUUCUUGCAGUCAUGAAAUAGUCGCUAGUCUUUCUCUCACUACUCAGAAGGUAUGUCUACAAAACCCUUGAGUUGUCUUUUGAGGGCACUGACCCAGUUUUUCAUGUAUGGAAAGUGAAAUUGUUUCAGAGCCAGACAGAGCCUAGAAACAAAUUUGCAGGAAACCCCCAUUGUCACGACUGACCGGUCCCAAGUACAAAACAAAAUCAUCUGUGGUCUCUGGUGCUGCAAUAAUGUUUCAUUUAACCCUGCAGCUCCAUGUCCAACCAAGGACAAAAUAGAUAUUGGAACGUGGUGAAGUACAAACUGGGAUACAUUCACAGCCUCGUAAUCAUGCUGUGCAAGGAGAGGCCAACAUUCCCUGGUUCCCUUGCAAGCUUGUGUCCUCUCAUCUGUGGCGACCUUGCUGAGGCUGCUUCCCUCACUGGCUUACGUGGCCUUAGUGGGAUUCAACUGACCCAGGGUACUCUCCUUCUUUUACUCAUAAUGUCCUAUCCAUCUAGGGGGGAGGGCAGGGGAUUUCAUCUGGCUGGCUUGGUGUUUGGCUUAUUUUGAGAAGAUAGCUGCCGAAGAGUGAAAUUAGUGCUGGGCAAUUUAGAGAUGCAAACACCAGUGUGCAGAGAGAGAAGGACAUGCCUGGAAGACAAAGAUUUCUGUUCAGAUAUAUUUCUUACAUACAAUGUAAACUGCAGUAAGGACUACUACUAUUGUACAGUGCUAAGUGGGAAGGGAUAUAGUCUUUCUACUUGUAAAACUUAGCCACCAAGAGGGCCAAGCACUCAACGUAGAGGCGAAACCACCUUUGCAAAAAUUAUGACAGUAAGAAAAAUAUGACAUAGGAAAAUUAUGACAGUGAAAGAAAUCUCACAUAACUGACUCCAUCUUGCUUCUAACCCCCAAGCUACCCUUAUUUAUUCCUAGGCAUAGGCCCAACUAACUAUGGGAGGAAUUUAGUUUAUAGUUUAACUUUGAAACAAACAUGAUAGCCCUUCUCCAAACCCCCUCCUUGCUUGGGGACAAGACUGCCUUUGUAAAAUGAAAAAGUUAGAAAUUAUGGCUCAAGAGUCAUGCAACUAGAAGCCACAAGAUUCCUAACCUCCCCAAUUGUUCCUAUAGAUAACAUAACCAUUGUCAAACCAAUGAGUGGUGUUUUGAGGUAUUUUUCAGAUGCUGUCUUCUGAUGGACCAGCUGGCACCACCCAGAUUGGCAAACUGGCUUACUGGGUCUUGUGGCUCCUGACCAGGAACCGAUUCAGUCCAGGAGGACAAGCUCUGACUAUGAUUUCAUCCCUAAGUAAUCAGCUCUUCCCAUUUCCUAGCCCCCUGCCUACCAAACUAUCCUUGAAAAACCCUAGCCUCUGAAUUUUCAGGGCGGUUGAUUUAAGUAAUAAUAAACUCCUGUCCUUCCAUUUAUCUGGCUCAGUGUUUAUUAAACUCCUCCUCGAUCGCGAAAACCUGCUUCUCAGUAUAUUGGCUUUUCAGGGCAGCAGGCAAGAUGAACCCAUCAGGCGAUUACAGAGGGAUGGUGAUAAAAGGAGCCUCCUAAAAUUAAUUAUGAGUUUCUGCCAGAAAAGCUGCUUUGAGGAACUCUGCCACAUCUGUGUUCUCUUAGCCUGAUUUUCCAUCUCUAAAAGAAGAGGAUCAGUCUAGAGCAGUGACUUUUUUUUCAUUCAUUUUUCCUCCCAAAUGGUGUCUCUGGCCACUCCCUUUGUGGAAGUGGGUGUGUUUGGAGAGAAAGUGCAUUCAGCCUCCCCUGGGCUCUGGAGCCACAGCUUCACAUCAAUCAGAGCAUUUGUACUUUUGUUUUGUCUCAUAUAUUGUCUGCAGACCUCCAGAUUCCAAUAGCUGAUCCCAAACUGCAUCCCUAGGCAUUCCAGGAGUUUGAACCCUCCCAAUUCCAGGGCCUACUGCUGAGGCCAACUCAUUUGUCCCUUGGGCAAGUGCUCCUGUGGCUUGCAGUGGUUAGCCAGACCAGGGAACUGGCUCUGAUGGAGACAUCAUGUGAGUUUCUGAAUAAACAAAAGUAUUAUACAAGCUCAAGUUCAGAUCUUGGUGGAAGAACAACAGCCGACCAGCACCUGGGACCCCGCAGGCAGGGCUGGCCAGGAUGCCCCUCGGUUGGGUUACCCAUUAAACCGACCUCCUUCUCAUGGACCUCAGGGAUCACACCACCCCUCAG
rnacentral:lncRNA from 10 species